CAGCAGCCACGGUAAUACAGAGGAUGCAAGCGUUAUCCGGAAUGAUUGGGCGUAAAGCGUCUGUAGGUGGCUUUUCAAGUCCGCCGUCAAAUCCCAGGGCUCAACCCUGGACAGGCGGUGGAAACUACCAAGCUGGAGUACGGUAGGGGCAGAGGGAAUUUCCGGUGGAGCGGUGAAAUUCGUAGAUAUUCGUAAGAACACCAGUGGCGAAGGCGGCUUACUGGCUCGAAACUGACGCUGAGGCGCGAAAGCGUGGGGAGCAAACAGGAUUAGAUACCCCCUAGUCCCUGUCUCUUAUACC
rnacentral:rRNA from 1 species